GAUGAACGCUAGCGGUGUGCCUAAUGCAUGCAAGUCGAACGGGAUCCUUUGGAUUCGUCUGAAGGUGAGAGUGGCGAACGGGUGAGUAACACGUAGGUGACCUGCCCCGGAGAGGGGGACAACCACUGGAAACGGUGGCUAAUACCCCAGAUGUUAUUGCGCUUAGAAAGCAAUUACUAAAGUUCCGGCGCUCCGGGAGGGGCCUGCGGCCCAUCAGCUUGUUGGUAAGGUAAUGGCUUACCAAGGCUAAGACGGGUAGGGGGCGUGAGAGCGUGACCCCCCCACACUGGUACUGAGACACGGACCAGAUACCUGCGGGUAGCAGCAGCAAGGAAUAUUGCCCAAUGGACGAAAGUCUGAGGCAGCAACACCGCGUGGAGGAUGAAGGCCUGGUGUAACUCUUUCUGGGGAGAGAAAGGACGGUACCCACGGAAUAAGUACUCGGCUAACUACGUG
rnacentral:rRNA from 1 species